rnacentral:rRNA from 1 species
CAAUAGCGUAUAUUUAAGUUGUUGCAGUUAAAAAGCUCGUAGUUGGAUUUCGGGUGGGACGCAGCGGUCUCGCAUUGCGUUUGUACUGCUGCAGCCCUCCUUCUUGCCGGGGGCGGCCUCUCGGACUUCACUGUCUGGGGGUCAGAAUCGGCGAUGUUACUUUGAGUAAAUUAGAGUGUUCAAAGCAAGCUUACGCUCUGAAUACAUUAGCAUGGAAUAACACGAUAGGACUCUGGCUUAUCUUGUUGGUCUGUGAGACCAGAGUAAUGAUUAAGAGGGACAGUCGGGGGCAUUCGUAUUUCAUUGUCAGAGGUGAAAUUCUUGGAUUUAUGAAAGACGAACUUCUGCGAAAGCAUUUGUCAAGGAUGUUUUCAUUAA